rnacentral:rRNA from 1 species
GAUGGACGCUGGCGGCGUGCCUAAUACAUGCAAGUCGAGCGAACGGACGAGAAGCUUUCUUCUCUGAUGUUAGCGGCGGACGGGUGAGUAACACGUGGAUAACCUACCUAUAAGACUUGGAUAACUUCGGGAAACCGGAGCUAAUACCGGAUAAUAUUUUGAACCGCAUGGUUCAAAAGUUAAAGACGCUCUUGCUGUCACUUAUAGAUGCAUCCGCGCUGCAUUAGCUAGUUGGUAAGGUAACGGCUUACCAAGGCAACGGUGCAUAGCCGACCUGAGAGGGUGAUUGGCCACACUGGAACUGAGACACGGUCCAGACUCCUACGGGGGGCAGCAGUGGGGAAUCUUCCGCCAUGGGCGAAAGCCUGACGGAGCAACGCCGCGUGAGUGAUGAAGGUCUUCGGAUCGUAAAACUCUGUUAUUAGGGAAGAACAUAUGUGUACGUAACUGUGCACAUCUUGACGGUACCUAAUCAGAAAGCCACGGCUAACUACGUG